rnacentral:lncRNA from 1 species
CCACAUAAGAGUUUGUUCUUUGGACAGUAGAAUUGAAAAAGCUCCAUUUCUUUAAUAUUUUCCUGCUGCCAUAGCUUCCCCCUUGUCCUUUUUGGGUACUGCUGCAGCACCCAGAGUCCUGAGCCUCUGAUUUUCACAAAAUGUGCAAGAAUGCACUAUUUUAAGACCUCUGUUCUGCCCUUAAGCUCAGUUAAAAUUAGCUGAUCGGUUGAGGAGAGCGAGAAGGCUGACAGGCAGAUAGCACGUGUUUAAUUUCAUUAUGAAAUGAGGCUAAAAGGGGCUCUGGAGGGGAUUCUCUGGUGUGCUGUACUGGUGCCUGGCUGCAGGGGUGGGACAGAAAGCAGCUUCCCCACAUCUUCAGCUGAGUGUACUGUCAGUGUGAGGGACAGCAGGAACAGGGGAGCUGGGCUCGUGCAGGGACAUGCUGCAAGUGGCCACUCAGUGGUGUUUUCUCCUUGCCCGAUGUGCAGAGCUGUGCUUCCACAGCGAAUAUUUGCUAUAUUCCAGCAAAACAAUUAAUUUUGUUUUGGGCUUUUUUCUAACACUCAUCACAGCAGCGUGCGAGUGCUUCACUAACGUUGGUUUCUCUCAGGAACAGCGUGGGGGGAGUAGGGUUCUAUAAUAUCCAUUCCUUCGCAAGGGAAAUGAGAUGUUUUGUGUCAAAAGCAUCCUCUGGCGUUGACUGCCCUCUUCUGAGGUGCCCCGGACACAUUUCCUCAAACUGUUUGGCGUUACACAUCAUUUCAUUCCCAUCAAAUCACAGCUCUUACUCUCCGCAGUUGCAGUUAGAAAUGCUUGAAACUUCUGUAUUUCAAACCCUGGGCCUCAGUUUGUUACACGGGGGAAAAAAAAACAAACAAAUAUAUCAGCAGUAUUAUGGCAUAACUGAACUGGGAACUGUACGCUGCUGGCUGGGAAGGAAGCCAAUUAGAAAGAUUUGAUUGCUUUAAUGAUAGACAGUCCAUUCUCUUCCUGCAGCCUCCUGCUUGGAUUUCUGCCCAGGCAGAGGGAACUUGGUGACCUGGGACCUCGGGCCUCGUGUCACCCCUCGGCGUUGGGACCUCUGGGCAGUUCUGCUGUGUCUGCCCUCCAAGGACACGGGCAGUGCGACCCUCCUGUGAAGCAAGACCUUGUGGGAAAGAGGUACCCAUGUAACAGAAGAGUUUCACAGUAUGGACAGGGGACAGCAUUACUGUUGAAUUCUCUAAUCUGGAAACCCCCUAUUUUCCUGAUAUUUAAAUUUGAAAUCUAAUAGUAUCUCAAGGUAUGACGUUUAUCUAAUUUUUAAAGAUAGAAUAGAAAAAAAAAAGAGGGAAAAUUAAAUACGUAGUGUUCAUGAAUGCCUCAUGAGGGGCAUUUAAGUUUGAUGCAAUGAAUUUUGGACAGUUUCUUGACAUCCGAGCCCCUGCACUGCUGAAGUCAAUGGCCAUCCACGCUGUUGACCAGCAGGGAAGGCCACGGCAUUCCCGACUUUUCAGUCUCACAGCCAAGAAUCAAUUUUUGUAGGACUAAAAACUGCGUGUCCCUCACACACCGAGCUCUGGUUGUGGUCUCUUAGAACUCCUAGAUUUCCCAUUCCCAUCUCCACACCUAAAGCUACUCUUCCCAAUACUAUUUUAGCUGGUUUAGCUUGCUGAUUCUGUUAAAAAAAACUGUCUCCGCUCUGUCACUCCCCCCCGACCCCCCGGGCCGCCUUUAGCCCUCAUCUCUCCCCUCAUCCAGUUUGCCCCAAAGCGCCACAAAAUUUAGAUUGGAUUCAUGAUGGAGAAAUCGUAGAAAUAAGUGGCAAGAAAAAUCAUUUAAAAUAGAUAAUUCUCCUGAAACAGGCAAACUUCUGCCAAGUAUGGCAAGUUGUACACAGCAAAACCCUCCUCAGUGGGCACAUCCCGUGGCUGUCCUGGGGCUCCAGCAGUGCUGGGAC